AGCAAGGUAAUGUUUCACUUUAUAUAAAUGACUCAUUUUCAUUAUAAGGCUCAUGUAUAUUCUCUUGUUGGCAGUUGAUUUGAUCGUCAAAAUACUAAAAGUCGUCUGUCCUUUUUUUGUUUUUUUAGUAACUGUGAUCUUCGUGUCUGCAUUCGAGUAUGCAGGUAUCAUAUAGGUAGAUAGGAACAUCGUAGUGACAAUAAAAUCGUUUAGAUUUUGAAACAACAACUAAAAACAAAGAUAUUUGUGUUCUCUGGACAUGAAAGAUUUACCUUUUAAUUGGCAGAAGGAAGGAAUCUAGUCACUUGUACUAACACUGCACAGAACCACAUGGGUGGACGACGCUGCCAGAAAAAUAGGUUUGCUAACCGAUGGGGAUGAGUUCAGCUAGCUUGACAUUUAAUAUUUUGGGCAUUACUCUCGAAGCUGUGUGAGUGGACUUCUAUAUUUGGAAACUUGUUAGCCAGACCUAUUAUCUUCAUGGACAUUGUGAUUUAGUUGAUGAUCACAUCAACUUUUGCAAAUUUUCGUGGCCUUGUGAUGGUUAGAGGUGAAGUCGACAUCAAAGAAUACUUGUGGCUAUCAAAGACCCUGUUUAUAUCAUGGUCAGCCAUGGUGAAUUUUGGUGGUUAGCCGAUUACUAUAGUGGUCGACCUUGGUAGUUGUUAUGACCACGAUGUUAAUCGUGGUCAAUCAUGACAAUAUCAUGGUUAGUCUUUGCCUUGGAGAAUUUAAUCUGGUGAUUGAAGUGAUUUGAUUAAUAACAUAGUUUUCUUUAAGGAACUAUAUCGUUGUUUUGACUUGCUUAAUAUCAUUGUCGUACUUGAAAAGUAUUAUUGGUCAUUAAGUGACAUGGUAGAUAUCGUGUUCAAUCUUGACAAGUUUUGGCAGUUGCAGUGAUUCGAUUAAUAUCGUGG
rnacentral:lncRNA from 1 species